rnacentral:rRNA from 1 species
UACAGGGGGGGCAAGCGUUGUUCGGAAUUACUGGGCGUAAAGGGCCUGUAGGCGGCCAACUAAGUCCGACGUGAAAUCCCCAAGCUUAACUUGGGAACUGCGUCGGAUACUGGAUGGCUUGAAUUCGGGAGAGGGAUGCAGAAUUCCAGGUGUAGCGGUGAAAUGCGUAGAUAUCUGGAGGAAUACCGGUGGCGAAGGCGGCAUCCUGGACCGAGAUUGACGCUGAGGAGCGAAAGCUAGGGGAGCAAACGGG